CGAGAGGGUUCGGNNNCGGCGUACUACUCAGUAACACGUGGAUAANNNGCCCUAAGGAAGGGGAUAANNNCGGGAAACUGAGGAUAAUACCCUAUAGGUUACAGACGCUGGAAUGCCCUGUAACCGAAAGCUCCGGCGCCUUAGGAUGGAUCUGCGGCCGAUUAGGUUGUUGUUGGGGUAACGGCCCAACAAGCCGAUAAUCGGUACGGGUUGUGGGAGCAAGAGCCCGGAGUUGGAUUCUGAGACACGAAUCCAGGCCCUACGGGGCGCAGCAGGCGCGAAAACUUUACAAUGCGGGAAACCGUGAUAAGGGAACCUCGAGUGCCUGUAUAUGCAGGCUGUCCAGGUGUCUAAAAAACACCUGAAGAAAGGGCCGGGCAAGACCGGUGCCAGCCGCCGCGGUAAUACCGGCGGCUCGAGUGGUGGCCACUUUUAUUGGGCUUAAAGCGUUCGUAGCUGGGUUGUUAAGUCUCUUGGGAAAUCUGACGGCUCAACCGUCAGGCGUCCAAGGGAUACUGGCAAUCUUGGAACCGGGAGAGGUGAGGGGUACUUCGGGGGUAGGAGUGAAAUCCUGUAAUCCUCGAGGGACCACCUGUGGCGAAGGCGCCUCACCAGAACGGCUUCGACAGUGAGGGACGAAAGCUGGGGGAGCAAACCGGAUUAGAUACCCGGGUAGUCCCAGCCCUAAACGAUGCGCGUUAGGUGUAUCGGUGACCACGAGUCACCGAGGUGCCGAAGGGAAACCGUGAAACGUGCCGCCUGGGAAGUACGGUCGCAAGGCUGAAACUUAA
rnacentral:rRNA from 1 species